rnacentral:rRNA from 1 species
UACGGGGGGGGCAAGCGUUGUUCGGAAUUACUGGGCGUAAAGGGCUCGUAGGUGGCCAUCUAAGUCAGACGUGAAAUCCCUCGGCUUAACCGGGGAACUGCGUCUGAUACUGGAUGGCUUGAGUUUGGGAGAGGGAUGCGGAAUUCCAGGUGUAGCGGUGAAAUGCGUAGAUAUCUGGAGGAACACCGGUGGCGAAGGCGGUUCUCUGGGCCCGUUCUGACGCUGAGGAGCGAAAGCGUGGGGAGCGAACAGG